GUGAUCAUAGUGGAGGUGUUAUACCCGUUCCCUUGCCGAACACGGAAGUCAAGCCCUCUUACGCCAAUGAUACUGCACCCUCUGUGCGGGAAAGUAGGUCGUCGCCAGGC
rnacentral:rRNA from 1 species